UGGGGUGUAGCCAAGCGGUAAGGCAGCGGGUUUUGAUCCCGCCAGUCGUGGGUUCGAAUCCUACCACCCCAGCCA
rnacentral:tRNA from 1 species